AACGAACGCUGGCGGCAUGCCUAACACAUGCAAGUCGAACGAGACCUUCGGGUCUAGUGGCGCACGGGUGCGUAACGCGUGGGAACCUUCCCUUAGGUUCGGAAUACCUCCCCGAAAGGGGUGCUAAUACCGGAUAAUGUCUUCGGACCAAAGAUUUAUCGCCUUUGGAUGGGCCCGCGUUGGAUUAGCUAGUUGGUAGGGUAAAAGCAUACCAAGGCGACGAUCCAUAGCUGGUCUGAGAGGAUGAUCAGCCACACUGGGACUGAGACACGGCCCAGACUCCUACGGGAGGCAGCAGUGGGGAAUAUUGGACAAUGGGCGAAAGCCUGAUCCAGCAAUGCCGCGUGAGUGAUGAAGGCCUUAGGGUUGUAAAGCUCUUUUACCCGGGAUGAUAAUGACAGUACCGGGAGAAUAAGCUCCGGCUAACUCCGUG
rnacentral:rRNA from 1 species